GACUGCAGUACACAAGACGAAGAAAAGGCGAACACAGGAAGAAUGCAAACAUAAAAAUAGAUCAUUAUAACAUUACAUUGAAUCACAACAGCCUAUGUAAAGUAGUAAAGUGUGUUCACUGAUUAAUAGUACCAAGGUAGUGAAAUUGUGAACGUCUUAGUAAUAACAAUGGGUCGAAAAGUGACUCUUGCUACUUGCUCGUUGAAUCAGUGGGCUUUGGACUUUGACGGCAACUUGGAGAGGAUACUGAAAAGCAUUGAACUCGCCAAAGCAAGUGGAGCCAAAUACAGACUGGGGCCUGAACUGGAAAUCUGCGGCUAUGGUUGUGCAGACCACUUCUAUGAAUCGGACACAUUGCUCCACUGUUUCGAAGUUCUGAAGAAGCUUCUGGAAUCUCCCAUCACCAAGGACAUCAUCUGUGAUGUUGGGAUGCCCAUCAUGCAUCAUAAUGUACGAUACAACUGCCGGGUGAUUUUCCUCAACAGACAGAUCCUAUUGAUUCGGCCAAAGAUGCUGAUGGCCAACCAUGGCAACUACAGAGAGAUGCGCUGGUUCUCACCAUGGACAAAGUUUAGGAAAGUAGAGGAGUACUUCCUGCCCCGAAUGAUCCAGCUUGUCACAGGGCAGGAUACAGUCUCAUUUGGAGAUUGUGUGCUCUCCACGAAGGAUACAUGUAUUGGUACAGAGAUGUGCGAAGAGCUGUGGCACCCUACUAGCCCUCAUAUUCAGAUGGGUCUUGAUGGGGUUGAAAUAUUUACGAAUUCCUCUGCGAGCCACCAUGUGCUCCGAAAAGCUGGUCAAAGGAUGAACUUGAUCAAGUCUGCCACCACCAAGAGUGGAGGAAUUUACCUGUAUGCAAAUCAGAGGGGAUGCGAUGGAGACCGACUGUAUUAUGAUGGUUGUGCCAUGGUGGCCAUCAACGGGGACAUUGUGGCACACGGAGCACAGUUCUCUUUGAACGAUGUGGAAGUGAUUACUGCCACUUUGGACCUUGAGGAUGUACGCUGCUACAGAGGAGAGUCUUGUCAGCUGCAGAUGGGAAGUGACUUUAAACCAUUCCAUAGGAUCAAAGUAGAUUUUUCUCUAUCUAGCAAUGAUGAUGUCUGGCUUGCUUCCCACCAACCAAUCACAUGGAACUUCCAUACUCCAGAGGAAGAGAUCAGUCUAGGGCCGGCCUGCUGGCUGUGGGACUACCUAAGGAGGAGUGGACAGGCUGGCUUUCUGUUACCGCUAAGUGGUGGUGUUGACAGCUCUUCAACCGCCUGUAUUGUCUACUCCAUGUGCGUGCUGGUCUGCAAAGCUAUAGAAAACAGCAACCAGCAGGUACUGGAAGAUGUUCGUAGGAUAGUUGGAGAGGAAUCCUACGUCCCUCAGCAGCCAAGGGAGCUUUGUGGUCGUAUCUUUACGACCUGCUAUAUGGCCAGUGAAAACUCAUCACAGGACACUUGCGGACGUGCCAAAGAGUUGGCCAAUCAGAUCGGCAGCACACAUAUGAACAUUAAUAUCGACAUGGCAGUUCAAGGCAUUCUGGGUAUCUUCUCGAUUGUUACUGGGAGGUGGCCUAAGUUUUGUGCUAAUGGAGGAAGCCACAGAGAAAACUUGGCACUGCAGAAUGUACAGGCUCGGAUAAGGAUGGUUCUGGCCUACUUAUUUGCUCAACUGAGUCUGUGGACUCGAGGAAAACCAGGUGGCUUACUGGUGCUCGGCUCAGCCAACGUUGAUGAGAGUCUAACAGGGUAUUUUACAAAGUAUGACUGCUCCAGUGCUGACAUCAAUCCGAUUGGAGGCAUUAGCAAGAAUGACCUAAAGGCCUUCUUACUUUACUGUGUUGACCAUUUCCAGCUCAGCGCUCUGAAAAGGAAGCGUCUGGCAUCCGCUGUCAGAGGGGGGGCUGGUACUGACGGCUGUGCUGGUGGGGUAGCGCAGCUGCGGCCAGCAAAACGGCUACCCCCCGCUCGACCCCCACCGCCUGUUUUUUGACCGGCCAAACCGCAGCCCCCAGCCAGACCACCACCACCUGUUCUCCAGCAGGCCAAACUGCAACCUCCAGCCAGACCACCACUACCUGCUCCAAGACUGCUUCCAGGUCCCCAUACCAGCACCCGGACUGGUCCCCGUACCGGCACCCAGACGGGUACCCGUGCCAGCACCACAGCCAGCACCUGCUUCAGCACCUCGGCCAGCUCCUCAGCUUGCUGCCUCGUCCCUGGCUCCAAUAACAUUGUCCCCAUGGUCUCUGGCUCCGACGACAUUGUCCUCCUCAUCUCGGACUGCGACGGUAUCAUCCUCCUCGUCUCUGGCGAACCUUUCCACGGCGCUGCCAUCCUCCUAGUCUCCAGUAUCGUCGCCUCCGCAACCUCCGGCUGGCCGGCCGCACAAACAGCCAUCAGGCGCCCGCACGCGGCCAGUGCAUGGACGCUUUUUGCGCCAACAACAGCGACGCCCAGGACAGAGACGUGGAACUUCUGACGCAACUCACGUCCGCCUUCCCGACGGCCAAGAAGGUGGCUGUUCCUUGGUCGCCCGCCUCGCCGGCCGCAGCGGCGUUCUACUCACCACCGCCACCAGACUCUUCCCCGGUGGAUUCGGGCACACUUGGGCCAGCAACCCACAACCAGUUCACCCCUCCACCCUCCCUUGAUCUCUGUGUUCUUCUGGUCCCAGUUUUAGGACAUCUGGAAGCUGUCCAUAAGGAGGGGGGUACUGUCACGGCCCAGGCACAUUCCAAUGCGCAUUCAUCUGUGUGCUCUGCUGAGCGCACCUGCGCGCGCCACUCCUGCAGAACCUGCGCCGAAUAGUAGCUGCUCCACCCACGGCUGAACUAGAACCUCUGACUGAUGGACAGGUGGCACAGACAGACGAGGCCGACAUGGGGAUGACGUACUCUGAGCUCUCAGUCAUUGGUGGACUAAGGAAGAUCUCUA